rnacentral:rRNA from 1 species
GACAGAGGGUGCAACCGUUGUUCGGAAUUACUGGGCGUAAAGCGCGUGUAGGCGGCUACAUAAGUCGGGCGUGAAAUCCCACGGCUCAACCGUGGAAAUGCACUCGAAACUGCGUAGCUAGAGUCCUGGAGAGGAAGAUGGAAUGCUUGGUGUAGAGGUGAAAUUCGUAGAUAUCAAGCGAAACACCGAUGGCGAAGACGGCCUUCUGGACAGUGACUGACGCUGAGACGCGAAAGCGUAAAAAGCAAACAGG